UGAGAGGAAAAGAUAGUGAAUUGUUGGUUCAAUUAUUAACGAAAAAAUGUCUAAGUAGAAAUUAAGAUUCAUUUGAAUUUGAUUAAGAAAAUAAAGGAAAAUACAAUGGAGUUUUGACUCCAAGGUUUAUUAGGAAAGAUUUGAGUGAUGGAAUUAAUUUGCUUUGAAAAAUGAACAUUUUCUAAGCAUCGCGUCUCCUAAACAUACAUCUAAAACGGUAAACAUACAACGUGUGUGCGUGUCGGUGCUUGUGUCGGUGUACAUCACUAUAAAGAGUCCAUUGUCCUUUACAUUUCCCUAGUUUACAUGCUAUGGUCUUGUAAGGAAUUAAAAGGAAAUUAAACUACCUAAAAUUACAUGUCCAUUUGACAUAGAAAUUGAAAGAUAAAAUGCCUAAACUACAAAAAAUGAAGAUAAAGUGAUAAGGUGCUUAUGAAAUGGAUGAAACAUGAAAUAGAAUGAUUAGUAGAAUAAGGCAUAAAUGGUAAGAAAAAGUAAGCAAUUGAAUAUGAGAUAAAACGGUGAAAAUGACGACAAU
rnacentral:lncRNA from 1 species